rnacentral:rRNA from 1 species
GUAGGUGGCAAGCGUUGUCCGGAAUUAUUGGGCGUAAAGCGCGCGCAGGCGGUCCUUUAAGUCUGAUGUGAAAGCCCACGGCUCAACCGUGGAGGGUCAUUGGAAACUGGGGGACUUGAGUACAGAAGAGGAAAGCGGAAUUCCAAGUGUAGCGGUGAAAUGCGUAGAGAUUUGGAGGAACACCAGUGGCGAAGGCGGCUUUCUGGUCUGUAACUGACGCUGAGGCGCGAAAGCGUGGGGAGCAAACAGGAUUAGAUACCCUGGUAGUCCACGCCGUAAACGAUGAGUGCUAAGUGUUAGGGGGUUUCCCGCCCCCUUAGUGCUGCAACUAACGCAUUAAGCACUCCGCCUGGGGGAGUACGGCCGCAAGGCUG